rnacentral:lncRNA from 1 species
AUUCUGCACAUACAGUCAUACUUGUUCAGUGUCACAUGAUACAUUUUACAAACAAAUUUCUUUCCAUAACUUUCACACAUACUCAUACCUUAGGCAUAGCACUUACAGAUAAUUACUUGCAUAGUACAUUUAUAAUAAAGGAAAAAAAAUCACAUACAAUCACACAUAAUCUAGAUCUAUACUAUAGCAUCUGUUGGUUUUUUUACUAUACAUGUAGCUUAAGUUAACUAUAAAAUGACUUCAUUAUUAUUCUUCAAAAUAUUCAACACCUUUGUUAAUAAACUGCUGAUCUCUAUAUUGGUCAUACUAUAUAAUUCUACAGUAUUUUCUACCUCAUAUUCAAAAAUUUUAAUGUGUCUACUGCUUUGGUUUUUUUUUAUUGGAAACAUAAUGUGUUUUAUAGACUGAAAAGAACAUUAAGCUAAGCAAAUGAUUUAGCG